CGUCUAUAUACGUAUAGCAUAUCAAUAAGCGGAGGAAAAGAAACUAACAUAGGAUUCCCUCAGUAACGGCGAGUGAAGCGGGAAGAGCUCAAAUUUGAAAUCUUCAAGGUUCUACCUUGACGAAUUGUAGUUUAAAGAAGUGUUUUCUGUUGGAGUUUUGGUAAAAGUUCUUUGGAAUAGGACAUCAUAGAGAGUGAGAAUCCCGUAUUUGACCAUUAUUUCCAGCUUUGUGAUACACUUUCAAAGAGUCGGAUUGUUUGGGAAUGCAGUCCAAAAUGGGUGGUAAAUUUCAUCUAAAGCUAAAUACUGGCGAGAGACCGAUAGCGAACAUAGUACCGUGAGGGAAAGAUGAAAAGAACUUUGAAAAGAGAGUUAAACAGUACGUGAAAUUGUCAAAAGGGAAGCGUUUGACACCAGUGUUGUUUUCUCGAAAAUCAAUUAAAAAUGGCAGGAUUUUGUGUUGUAUUGACUUUAUCAGCUUUCUGCACUUUUUUCUUGUCUUUUUUAAUGCACUUUUCGUUUAACAAGUCAACAUCAAUUUCUUUUGCUGUAAAAGGGUCAUUGGAAGGUGGCUUCCUUUUCGGAGAAAGUGUUUAUAGCCUUUGGCCUCUGCAGUCGGAGAGAUUGAGGUCUGCAGCGUAGAUCCUUCGGGGUUAGAUGCAUUUGUGCUAAGUUAUAGCCUUUCAUAGACAACUUGUUGACUAUGAUCAGUCAUGUAGCUUACUCGCUUAUGUCAUUUUACCUACGCUUAGGAUGUUGAUCUGUAGUGCGUGCGC
rnacentral:rRNA from 1 species